UACGUAGGGCGCAAGCGUUGUCCGGAAUUAUUGGGCGUAAAGAGCUCGUAGGCGGUCUGUUACGUCCGCUGUGAAAACCCAGGGCUUAACCCUGGGCUUGCAGUGGAUACGGGCAGACUAGAGUGAUGUAGGGGAGACUGGAAUUCCUGGUGUAGCGGUGAAAUGCGCAGAUAUCAGGAGGAACACCGAUGGCGAAGGCAGGUCUCUGGGCAUUAACUGACGCUGAGGAGCGAAAGCAUGGGGAGCGAACAGG
rnacentral:rRNA from 1 species